CCUACGGGAGGCAGCAGUGAGGAAUAUUGGUCAAUGGGCGAGAGCCUGAACCAGCCAAGUCGCGUGAGGGAGUACUGCCCUAUGGGUUGUAAACCUCUUUUGUCGGGGAGCAAAAGCCGGACGUGUCCGGCUGUGAGAGUACCCGAAGAAAAAGCAUCGGCUAACUCCGUGCCAGCAGCCGCGGUAAUACGGAGGAUGCGAGUGUUAUCCGGAUUUAUUGGGUUAAAAGGGUGCGCAGGCGGAUUUUUAAGUCAGCGGUAAAAUCGUGGGGCUCAACCCCAUCCAGCCGUUGAAACUGGGGAUCUAGAGUGUGCGAGAGGUAUGCGGAAUGCGUGGUGUAGCGGUGAAAUGCAUAGAUAUCACGCAGAACCCCGAUUGCGAAGGCAGCAUACCGGUGCACAACUGACGCUCAGGCACGAAAGCGUGGGUAUCGAACAGGAUUAGAUACCCCAGUAGUC
rnacentral:rRNA from 1 species